CGCCUCCUGCAACUAGAUUGAGUAUAGGAGGUCCAGCCUGCCCAGUGACUACGGGUUCAACGGCCGCGGUAUUUUGACCGUGCAAAGGUAGCGCAAUCACUUGUCUCUUAAAUAGAGACCUGUAUGAAUGGCUAGACGAGGGCUUAACUGUCUCCCCCUUUCAGUCAGUGAAAUUGAUCUAUCCGUGCAGAAGCGGGUAUAACAAUACAAGACGAGAAGACCCUUUGGAGCUUAAGGUACAAGAUUCAGCCACGUUAAACAACUCCAUAGAAAGCAAGAACUUAGUGGCCAUGAAAUUUUACCUUCGGUUGGGGCGACCACGGAGGAAAAAUAAGCCUCCGAGUGGACUGGGCCAAACCCCUAAAGCCAAGAGAAACAUCUCUAAGCCGCAGAACAUCUGACCAAUGAUGAUCCGGCUGAAAAGCCGAUCAACGAACCAAGUUACCCUAGGGAUAACAGCGCAAUCCUCUCCCAGAGCCCGUAUCGACGAGGGGGUUUACGACCUCGAUGUUGGAUCAGGACAUCCUAAUGGUGCAGCCGCUAUUAAGGGUUCGUUUGUUCAACGAUUAAAGUCCU
rnacentral:rRNA from 1 species